rnacentral:rRNA from 1 species
CCUACGGGAGGCAGCAGUAGGGAAUAUUGCUCAAUGGGGGAAACCCUGAAGCAGCAACGCCGCGUGGAGGAUGAAGGUUUUCGGAGUGGAAACUCCUUUUGAUAGAGAAGAGAAUGACGGUAUCUAAGGAAUAAGGACCGGCUAACUCCGAGCCAGCAGCCGCGGUAAUACGGAUGGUGCAAGCGUUACUCGGAAUCACUGGGCGUAAAGAGCGCGUAGGGGGGAUAGCAAGUCAGAUGUGAAAUCCUACGGCUUAACCAUAGAACUGCAUUUGAAACUGUUAUUCUAGAGUAUGGGAGAGGUAGGUGGAAUUCUUGGUGUAGCGGUCAAAUCCUUAGAGAUCACG